UACGUAGGGACCGAGCGUUGUCCGGAAUCAUUGGGCGUAAAGAGCGUGUAGGCGGCUAUUUAAGUCCUGCGUGAAAUCCUGCGGCUCAACCGCAGACGGUCGUGGGAAACUGGAUGGCUAGAGUGCGGGAGAGGAGAGUGGAAUUCCCGGUGUAGCGGUGAAAUGCGCAGAUAUCGGGAAGAACACCCGUGGCUAAGGCGGCUCUCUAGUACGGUACUGACGCUGAGACGCGAAAGCGUGGGGAGCGAACAGG
rnacentral:rRNA from 1 species